UAAAAACUAUCUAAUUAGACUAGAUCUCUCAAACACAUCAUUCUUCUCAUUCACGCUUUCAUUCAAGCGUACAAAACCCUAAUUUUGUUCAUCGCCGACAAGCAAAUCUACCACCAUCUCUUUCGAUUUCAUUAGCAUCUGCAUUGUUUUGGGUUUUAUCUCAUCUUUUGUGACAACCAAUCUAUGGUGCUGAGUUGAUUGAUUCAGUUCUGGAUUUCCAACGAGCGAUAUUGAAGUAGAGAUCUCUAAAGCAAUGGUGUGGUAACUCAAGUGGCGGCGGCGGUGGUGGUGUAAUUAUUUCGAUUCAACCAACCAUCUGAUUGGGGGCUCUUUAUGGAAUGAAAUAUUAACUGACUUCAAUGUUAAGUUUACUGAAAGCUUUUGAUGGGAGGCAUUAGCAUAAAAGCUUCUGGUGGUCAUUGAUAUCUUUUAGUGUUGGUAAUAUCAUAUUCCUUUUCAUUCCUAAAUUUUCUGAUGAGCUGAAGGAGGAAAAGCUGCCCGUUUACCUGGACUAUUUUUAAGGAUUUGAAUGGGAAUUUAGAUUAGUGAGUCGGAAGAGACAAUGUUUGAUUUGUUAUAUGAUUCCAGAGUAAAAAAAAGUAUGGGGGACCACAAACGUGGGCGACAUUGGCUUAAAUAAAAUCAACUGGGGUUCCGCUGUUGGAUAUGUAUCGUGCUGAAUCGUCAGGACAACAUGGAACUUGAUGAAGUUGCGCGUUUGGACAAAGAAAGUAAAAUACGCCCCAGUCCUGAAAUUGGCAUACUCUGUUGAUGGGGAAAUGCAUAGCAUCUCAAUAGAUUACAUAGUGAUAUGCUCAGGUGGUCAGAGAAAGAGAUACUACAGGCCAGUUUCUCUCUUUUCCUAUGUUGCAUAUAUGUUUUCUGCUUGGGGUGUUUUAGGUUUUAACAUCCAGGCCUCAUUGUACAUAGGCAAAUCUGUCAUGCAUAUUUGGUUACUGUUGUGUCCGCAUGGGGUUAUGUUUUUCUUAAACAAUAGCUGAUAAAAACAUGUAAUUGUAGGUGAGAUGGUGGUUGGUCCAAGACCCUUUUUAAUGGUUGAGAUAUCAACGAGACUAACUAGCUCAACUAGAUACCGAAAUGUGAAGAUAGUUUUUUGAACAGAUUCAAUUUUUUAUCCCCUUUCAGGACUUCCAGAGUGAUUGAUUUUUUCGUUUCUUAAUGGAUAAUCAAGGAAACCCAGAUUAAAAGCACAUGUCUCUAGAAAGAGAGAACUCUUAUUUUACAUGUCACCCGAAUGUAUUGUUCGCAUUCGCAUUUACAGUCAGAAGCUGGAUGUCUAAUGCUUUACUUAUUUAUUGAUCAAUAUGCAUAGAAAUAUCCCAUCAAGUAGCAUCUGGUCCUUCAAGUCACCUGUUUUAUAACUUAUAAACAUGUUUUGUUGUGCAGCAUCGAGAUAACAUUAAAAAGUAUGGCAAGAUGCCUCUUGGACUACCAUCAGAUGGUAAUAAGAAGAAGCCAUCUCAGGAUCAUCAUCUUGAGGACAGGUUCGCCAAGAUGCGUCUUACACCAUCUGAUGAAAUUCCACUUCCUGUAUAUACCAAGGUUAAGAAGGCAGUUGACAUCAUGAGUGGUCCUAAGGAAGCCAGUAGUUAUCUCGAUGAUUUGGAAAGAGCUGAGUAUGGAAUUCGCGUGGCUACUAAGGUCUAUAGAUGUUUUCUUCCACUUGGCUGGAAAUAUGAUCGAGAGAGUGCUAGCUUCUUUAUUACCGGCUAUGACAAGAUUUAUACAAGGAAGGACGGGAAAAAAAUCAUUAUGCGUUUAGCUUCAUAAAUGUCAACAAACUAUGUUUUUUAAUCAAUGCAUGUCUUGUAGUUUUCCAGUCACAUUCAAUAACCGACAACAGGUAUUAUACCAUUGCUAGAAAGGUGCAUACUUUUCACAUGAAUGAAUUAUAAAUUAACUUAUAUUUUUAGUGGUUUCGUUUUAGGCCAUAGAAACUAGAAAGGUGGGUACUUUUCACAUGAAUGAGGUUCUAGCCAAGAAAGGUGGGUACUUUUCACCUGAUUCGCCAAGUGGAAGUGCAUCACUACUGCGGCCAUCUGAACGAAGACACGUGACAAUGUCUGGUCUACGACUGGCCCGAUGCCGAUGCGCGGUUGAUCGGGCUGGAAUAAAUAGUAACUGAAGAACAGUUUUUAACUCUUCCGGACACCAAAAAACCGAUGUGGCAUAGCCACGAGUGUAUGGUGAAGAGCGGCGUGCUCUUCCUUCCCGGUGUUCCCGGUCCGGUUGAACGAAAAGAUCUUGAGAAAGUGGCGAAAACAUAUGGGAAGACCAUACACUUUUGGCAGGUGGAUAGAGGUGAUGAACUGCCGCUCGGGUUACCACAGGUGAUGAUGGCGCUAACGCGAGACGGGCAACUCUACCCGAGCCUCGCCAUCGUUUCGUUUAUUCCAACUAUAGGGGUGUUUGUUUUUCGGUUUUAAACCGAUUUAACCAAAAACUGUUUAAAACCGAAGCAAAUUACAUAUUUGGUUUUGUGGUUUGGUUUUCGGUUGCAAAAGUCUGAAACCGUUAUAAACCCGAACAGAAUUACAUGUUUGGUUUUCUGGGUUCAGAAAUCUAAACUGAAAUCGACCAAAACCAAACAAUAUUACAUAUUUGGUUAUGGCGGUUUGGUUUUUGGUGGUUUUCUGGUUCAGAAUUCUUAACUAAAACCAAUGUGGAAUAUCUCAAUACGUGACUCAAGUUGGUACGACCAUCGGGUACACCAUUACUUCGGCGAUCAGUAUGGCGUAAGCGAUAACUAAAAACUCAGAACUUAUAGUUUAAAUGUGUUUGUUUAGCUAGCUAAUUUUGGAAUAUCUUGUGGUUAACCAGGGCGGUUAAACAGAUAUUUGUUUCUCAUGGUAGAAAAAAUCCGCGAUCUUUUGUUAUGAGAAUCUGAUGAAGAACUAUCAUCAUUUUUGCAGGGUUUAACAGGGUUUAACGAAGAUAAAGCGAUGUAGAAGUGUAUCUUCAGUACACGCAAAAAUCUCUUGAAAUGCUCAUCAAGAUCUCAAAGAUUUGAGAGCUUUAAAGACCAAAGGAUUAGAACAAAUUUAUAUUGUAUUUUUUGAUAUCGUAUAUUGUGAAUAUUAAAUUCAGUUACUAGCAUGUUUUAAUAAACCUUUGGAAGGAGUCACCUUUGGUAUAAAUAUAGCAAUUGUUUUUUA